rnacentral:rRNA from 1 species
UGAGCUCGAUGAGUAGGGCGGGACACGUGAUAUCCUGUCUGAAGAUGGGGGGACCAUCCUCCAAGGCUAAAUACUCCUGACUGACCGAUAGUGAACCAGUACCGUGAGGGAAAGGCGAAAAGAACCCCGGCGAGGGGAGUGAAACAGAACCUGAAACCGUGUACGUACAAGCAGUGGGAGCCUUCGUAAGAGGGUGACUGCGUACCUUUUGUAUAAUGGGUCAGCGACUUAUAUUCUGUAGCAAGGUUAACCGUAUAGGGGAGCCGAAGGGAAACCGAGUCUUAACCGGGCGUUA